UACGCAGGGUGCGAGCGUUAAUCGGAAUUACUGGGCGUAAAGCGUGCGCAGGCGGUUUGCUAAGACCGAUGUGAAAUUCCCGGGCUCAACCUGGGAACUGCAUCUGUGACUGUAUAGCUAGAGUACGGUAGAGGGGGAUGGAAUUCCGCGUGUAGCAGUGAAAUGCGUAGAUAUGCGGAGGAACACCGAUGGCGGAGGCAAUCCCCUGGACCUGUACUGACGCUCAUGCACGAAAGCGUGGGGAGCAAACAGG
rnacentral:rRNA from 1 species